GUAAGAGCCAGCAUGCGGGACCGGCUUUACAAGGCUUCGAUCUGCAUGGGAGACGAUGGCGCGCUGUCUGUGAUUGUGCACGGGGGAAUGUACAAAUGCAGACUCAGGCCCUUUGGUGUAGCUGUGGUCGGUGAACUGAUUUACAGCUAAGCUCCCUUUCUCUUUUGUCCACUCAAAUAAACUUGGCCCUUUGUCUUUUCCAUGUGGAAAAUGGCAGCUGCAUAUUCUGCA